AGUGAACGCUGGCGGUAGGCCUAACCCAUGCAAGUCGAACGGCAGCACAGUAAGAGCUUGCUCUUACGGGUGGCGAGUGGCGGACGGGUGAGGAAUACAUCGGAAUCUACUUUUUCGUGGGGGAUAACGUAGGGAAACUUACGCUAAUACCGCAUACGACCUACGGGUGAAAGCAGGGGAUCUUCGGACCUUGCGCGAUUGAAUGAGCCGAUGUCGGAUUAGCUAGUUGGCGGGGUAAAGGCCCACCAAGGCGACGAUCCGUAGCUGGUCUGAGAGGAUGAUCAGCCACACUGGAACUGAGACACGGUCCAGACUCCUACGGGAGGCAGCAGUGGGGAAUAUUGGACAAUGGGCGCAAGCCUGAUCCAGCCAUACCGCGUGGGUGAAGAAGGCCUUCGGGUUGUAAAGCCCUUUUGGUGGGAAAGAAAAGCAGCAGGUUAAUACCCCGCUGUUCUGACGGUACCCAAAGAAUAAGCACCGGCUAACUUCGUG
rnacentral:rRNA from 1 species